UACGUAGGGUGCGAGCGUUAAUCGGAAUUACUGGGCGUAAAGCGUGCGCAGGCGGUUUUGUAAGUCUGUCGUGAAAUCCCCGGGCUCAACCUGGGAAUUGCGAUGGAGACUGCAAGGCUGGAGUCUGGCAGAGGGGGGGUAGAAUUCCACGUGUAGCAGUGAAAUGCGUAGAGAUGUGGAGGAACACCGAUGGCGAAGGCAGCCCCCUGGGUCAAGACUGACGCUCAUGCACGAAAGCGUGGGGAGCAAACAGG
rnacentral:rRNA from 1 species